AGCGGGAUAGCUGGUUUAAUGGUGGUUCCAAGUUUUCUGAGGAAUCUCCGUACUGCUUUCCAUAAUGGUUGCACCAAUUUGCAUUCCCACCAGCAAU
rnacentral:pre_miRNA from 1 species